rnacentral:rRNA from 1 species
CCUACGGGAGGCAGCAGUAAGGAAUAUUGGUCAAUGGGCGCAAGCCUGAACCAGCCAUGCCGCGUGCAGGAUGACGGCCCUCUGGGUUGUAAACUGCUUUUAUACGGGAAGAACAGCAUCUACGUGUAGGUGUUUGACGGUACUGUAAGAAUAAGGACCGGCUAACUUCGUGCCAGCAGCCGCGGUAAUACGAAGGGUCCAAGCGUUAUCCGGAUUUAUUGGGUUUAAAGGGUGCGUAGGCGGCUUUUUAAGUCAGUGGUGAAAGCCUGAUGCUCAACAUCAGAACUGCCAUUGAUACUGAAGAGCUUGAGUACAGUUGAGGUUGGCGGAAUGUGUCAUGUAGCGGUGAAAUGCUUAGAUAUGACACAGAACACCGAUUGCGAAGGCAGCUAGCUAAGCUGUUACUGACGCUGAUGCACGAAAGCGUGGGGAGCAAACAGGAUUAGAUACCCUGGUAGUCCACGCCCUAAACGUUGAUAACUCGUUGUUAGCGAUAUACUGUUAGCGACCAAGCGAAAGCAUUAAGUUAUCCACCUGGGAAGUACGGUCGCAAGAUUGAAACUUCAAAGGAAUUGACGG